GACGGAAGGUGCAAGCGUUACUCGGAAUCACUGGGCGUAAAGCGUCCGCAGGCGUCCUUUCAAGUCUGGCGUAAAAGCACGGAGCUCAACUCCGUGUACGUGCCGGAAACUAGGAGGAUUGAGUCAUACAGAGGCAUCUGGAAUGCCAUGUGUAGGGGUCAAAUCCGUUGAUCCAUGGUAGAACGCCAAAAGCGAAGGCAGGAUGCUGGGUAUGUACUGACGCUCAGGGACGAAAGCGUGGGGAGCGAAGGGGAUUAGAUACCCCCGUAGUCCACGCCCUAAACGAUGCGUGCUCGGUGUGGGAACAUUCAAUCUGUUUCCGUGCCUUAGCUAACGCGGUAAGCACGCCGCCUGGGAAGUACGGCCGCAAGGCUAAAACUCAAAGGAAUAGACGGGGACCCACACAAGCGGUGGAGCAUGGGGUUUAAUUCGAUAAUAAGCGGAGCACCUCACCCAGGUUUGACAUCCCGAGAAGCUCGCAGAAAUGCGGGUGUGCCGCAAGGAACUCGGUGACAGGUGGUGCACGGUCGUCGUCAGCUCGUGCCUUGAGGUGUACUGUUAAGUCAGCAAACGAGCGCAACCCUCAUCCUAUGUUGCCUUUUCAUAGGAGACUGCCGCCUCCAAGGCGAAGGAAGGUGGGGAUGACGUCAGAUCUGCGUGUCCCUUAUGCCUGGGGCAACACCCGUGCUACAAUGGCCGGCACAAAGGGCAGCCAACCCGCGAGGGGGAGCCAAUCCCAUAAAACCGGUCUCAGUCCGGAUUGAAGUCUGCAACUCGACUUCAUGAAGUUGGAAUCGCUAGUAACCGUGAAUCAGCUAUGUCACGGUGAAUAUGUUCCUGGGUC
rnacentral:rRNA from 1 species